AGGAACCAGCCAGGCAGGAGAAGCAGAUUUCGGUGUGAUUUAUGACUGGCUGCAGGCUGCUUGGGGAAGCAGUGCAGCUGAUUCUGACUGAGACUUUUGUUUAGGACUGCAACUCAGCCAGGUGAGGACACCAAAUGGGCAGCCCAGCACUCCCACCUUCCUGUGAGCACCUCACCACCGCUCUUCUUGCUAUGGAUGGGACUGUUCACAUGAAUGGAGGCAGUGAGACUGGAUCCACGGUUCUGAAACAGGUGUGUGGUGCCUGGUCACCCCAUGGAGCUCUCGCCUCCUUCUGGGCUAUCACUGCACCUGCUCUACUCUAGACAACUUCAUUCAGAAUCUGCUGUUGCCUUUUCCAUGACGGACUCAUGGCUACUGCAUCAGCACAGAGUCCAACUCCCCUGCAAUGAACAGAGACAAGCACAGCUAGAUCAGGUUACCCAGGACCUGAUCCAGCCUCACUAUGGAAGUCUCCAGGGACAGGGCAUCAACCACAUCUCUGGGCGACCUGUUCCAGUGCCUCACCACCCUCACUGUAAAGGAAGUUACAAGAAGCUACUGCACUAAUAGAAAACUCACAGCAACUCUUUUGGGCUGACAGUCUUGGCUAUGGAGCACCACUUGGCUCUACUCAAGGAGGGCCAUCACCAAAUUCAGUCUUUGGCUGUAGGCGGGGACAGUGGCAGCCAAGUUCAUUCAGCUUCUGUUAUCACCUUUGAACACAUCCAGUCUGAUGAAAUGGACGUACUUUCUACUGUCUCUUCUGUCCAGACUCUGCCAAAGAGGAAUAAAUAAUAUCAAUUCUGCCUGCCUUAU
rnacentral:lncRNA from 7 species